CGUGACUGACUGCACAUCUCACCAAAGACUAUGAGGCAAAUCAAACGCUUUUCGACUGACACCUUGAGCCAAGCAGAAUCAAAUGACUUGUUCUGCACCUUAGUUUAAUCGCACAGCUGCUCAGACCAGCGUCUGGACUUGGGCUGGCCUGACUCCUAAAAGUGAGCUACAUGACUCAGCAGAUAUGAUUCAUCAGACUAAUUGUUCUGACCGUGAGUACAUCUAAGAAAAUGGAAGCCAUUGAUAAUCUCCCUCGAUCUGUGGCUCCAGGCAAGAUGUCACCCCGUGGGGUCAAAAUGAUCACAAGAAUGGACCAGCCUGACACCCGUGGCGCCAGUGAGCUGGCCCUCGAUGACGGCGGCAUUUUUCCUUCCUCUGAUUGGUUGGAAGUUCAGUCCGCAAUGAAGGCCCACGUACCAAAUGCAUGAACCACCACUGUAAACAAAAGUCGCAACGCAUUCUUCAUCGAAAGCAACAUUCAUACACAAACCUCUGGUUACCGUACCAUGUGCCUUUUAAAAUAUAUCAUAUUAAUAUCUUUUGUUCCCAAUGUAUCCAUUUUGACUUUGUGUCACCUUAGCAGUUAAACCUUCAGGAAACCAAAUCUCUCAGGCUUCAUUGGCAUCAGGCCUUACCUUUACAAUGACAAUAUAGGCUGAC